UGUGGCUUAGUGGUAGAGUGCUUGCCUAGCAUGCAUGAAGCCCUGGGUUCAAUUCCUCGUA
rnacentral:tRNA from 1 species